rnacentral:rRNA from 1 species
AUUGAACGCUGGCGGCGUGCCUAACACAUGCAAGUCGAGCGGUAACAGGUGUAGCAAUACAUGCUGACGAGCGGCGAACGGGUGAGUAAUGCUUCGGAAUCUACCCAAUGGUGGGGAAUAACCAGCCGAAAGGUUGGCUAAUACCGCAUACGUCCCACGGGAGAAAGCAGGGGAUCGCAAGACCUUGCGCCAAUGGAUGAGCCGAAGUCGGAUUAGCUAGUUGGAGGGUAACGGCCUACCAAGGCGACGAUCCGUAGCUGGUCUGAGAGGACGACCAGCCACACUGGGACUGAGACACGGCCCAGACUCCUACGGGAGGCAGCAGUGGGGAAUAUUGGACAAUGGGGGAAACCC